AAGAUUUAUUUUGACUAUUUUGGUAUAAGAGUUAAUUGUGUUUUCGGUGGAAAUUUUGGUCAUUAUUCUGCAAGCUUUUCCUGCAGUCUGAUAAAAGGUAGGGAGCAAAAAUAUAUGUACUAACCUUGACAACCGUCAAUUAUGAUGUGCAUACCUUGACCUCUGUCAGUUUUACUGUUGUCAAACCGAAUCCAAACAAAAACAGAAACUUUAUUUUAAAUCAACCAAAGGUUUGUUGAGCAACAACGGAACCGUCUUCACCGUUGGUUAUAUUAAUGCUUUCGGUAACCUAUUAAGAGAAUUUAAUCAGUAAAGUUAAGCCCCGUUUUCGGACAACUAUCGAAAGCUGCAGGUGGUUGCAAACCCCACAAUUGAAUGCGGUGCUUAUGCGCGAGCUGAAACGGGUAUGCUCGGGUAAACUGAUGCGUACCUGGAUGUGACACAGCUUUCUGAAGCGAAAUACACCCGGACAUCUUAAUACGAUCAUGCAGCAGCAGUUUCAUUGCAACGAUACACUGGACUUCCUGCCUAUGUGCAAUACCGAAUUCGAUCAUCUUUUACGCCUUAUUAAACCGGCUUUGCUGAAUCCGAUGGUUGAACUAUGGGGUUAGCUAAGCUGCGCGCGAGGGAUCGAGUGUUUUGGCUUCAUUUGCCAUUAAGUUUUUUAGUAGCUUCUUGCGAUUCUUUCGAUGUACCGUCUCCGAUGUGGACGGUGGACGGUGGUCAUUCGGUGUACAGGAUGAUUGCCGUAUUGAAGGGACUUUGGGACACAUAAAGUUACUAUAACGCAAAUCUGUUUUUCAGCUUCCUUCUACGCAAGACGAAUGGCAUGCUGUAUCAAGGGAGUUUGGACAUCGAUACAACUUUCCCCACGCUUCGGUGCACUGAGUGGGAAGCACAUAAAAAUCCAUACGAUUCGAUUCCUCGUGUUGCAUGGUCCGAUUCAACCGGACCUGGACGUUUUAAGAUCGAUAGUUUUGGCCACUGGUCACCUGCAUAAUUUCCUUCGUAAAGCACAUUCGGCCAGCAUUUAUAUCCCGCCGCCGGAGCGUGUAGAUCGAACGGUGGAUGGCAAUGUGGGGUCCGGGGCGUUUGGCGUACUGAUCCAGCAACAUCCGUUGCCAUCGGAAUGACCUUGGCUCACCCUACCUCAACCGCAACUUUUGAAGAGCCGACGAAUCAUAUUCGCACGCAUCUGGCAAAUGUUUUAAAUAAUUUUUAGUCUUAUUAUGCGCACCUAACCCAUUGUUGUUAAUAUUGGUUGUUUUGUUUUAUAAAGCUAUUUACAUAUAGCUGUGUAAACUAAAGCUACUUGCAGUAUUCCGUUUGGCAUACGGUUGUUGCUUGAUCUGACCCAAAAAGCACAUCGCAUCGUAGGCAAAUCAUACGGGUGUGAAUGCUUUAGCUGUUGAAGGCACCAAAGAACGAGCGAAAUUUAAUUUGCUUCUGAGCAAGACAGCGACAUUGUCCGCCACCGUAUGACCACUUACAGGUACCGGCGGUCUGCGACACUCGCGCAUUAUAAAACCGGUACGAUCCGCUGAGUGACUUCCAUUUUUGAAUGAGGCUGGCUGUAGGAAGAUUGACUAUGCUGGCUCUCUCCAUCCAUGCACGCUUCUGCGCUUCCACGUGUCCUUGUAGCUAGGGUUGGAACGAUUCCACAGCACAUCCCGUUCCUCGACCAGCCGGAUAAAGUGCAACGUUUGCUUGUGGCUCAUCUUAACGGUCUUGCAAACAAAUCAGAAGGAGAAAAAAAAACCCGACAACCAUUAAGUGUUUAAAUUUCAAUGUCUUCGAUUGGACCAUUUGAUAAGCUACUUUAGCAGGGCACAGAGCGACAUCGUCUAUGAAGAGGAGGACCCUCUACACCUUACUCGCGAGAACCUGCCUGCUGUUUAAAGAUCAACUAGACAUUCAGGAAUCUACAACCAGAUAUUCUGGAGAAAAAAAACAAUAUUAAUGGCACGUUAGAAAAUUCUAUUGGGCCACAUGACAGGCCUCGAUUUGCUGAUAGAACACAGACAGUUGAACUAAACGUUAUAAGAGAGGCUGGAUUUUUAUUAUUUUGUUAUAAAAAAGUACAUAAACUGCAUGCAAAUGAUUCAGCGCAUCUGAAUGAGACACAGUCAAGGUUUUUCUGAGAACCGCAUCUUUUGUUGCCAUCAUAAGCAAGGUUUUUGUUUCAUUUUUAUUAUGAUCGGACAGUUUCCCCUCCCGUUCGGCAGAACCGGCCGAAAUAACUCCCUCGUGCAGCAGUAUACUGAAACGUGGUAAAAAUGUUGUUUAUUAUUUGCCUCAAUUUCUUAAACAAUUACGAAUAAAACAUAUAUAAACGGAAGCUAUUACACAUUGAUCGCG